AAGUGAUUUAAAGCUCAUUUCUUUCUUUCUAGUUUUCAUGAGGAAAUAUAUUUUCCCAAAUAGAAAUAUUUGUGGAAACUGUUCACCAAGCCUGAAAGAAUUUCCAGCUCAGAUAUUAUCUUAUCAUUCCAUCAUCAAAUACUGAUCAAUCGAUCCAAGUGUGGGUAACGUAGCUAGUGUCUACUAAUAAGACAAAAGCACGAAAAAGUAACCCGUGCACUAAUGCGUUGAUUGGAAAUGUACCUAAUACGUGGCUCAAAAAUGCUAGCAACACACGCCAUCGCACCGUGCGCUAAACCAUCGUAUUAGAAACGUCCACAGUUUUUAAUAAUUUUUAUCAGUAAAGGCGCGCAAUCAAGAAUCGAGUGCAAAGUUCUAUCCGCAUGGACCAAUUGAAUGAUCGCGCUAGAAAAUGAACCAAUGAAACAUCGGUAUUUCCACCUCCAUCUGCGGCCCUUUCAACAGCUUCUUCGAGUCGGGAAAUAACCUGUGAGGCCUGAAAUUCUAAAGCACCCACCUCGUUGUCUCUGGACUUUGCUGUGGCGGCGGUCACCUGUCAGAAUCAUUAUAAAAACGUGAGAAACUCACUAUAAUAUUGUCAAAAAAAAACCUCCCUAAAUCAGGGCUACAAUAUUUUGAUUACUGAUGAUUUCUAACGAAGAUUCACCCACCUCAAGAGCAUUUUCCGUUAUAUUUUCCAUCACCGCUUUACUGUUUGUGUCAACCUCCUCGGCCAUCGUGGCAGUAGUCGUGGCUUAGGGGCGUAAUUGCGUACCUAAAGGCCCCAAUAAUUAACGCGUCAUUGAUCAUUCAAUGAUUCACUCUUAGCGUCGAUCAAAAUUAGACUAAAAUCAUCAGACUAACUUGACUACAGUAUGUAUUUACAACAUCGUUUAUUCUCGCAGAAACUUUUUUAUGAUAACUCAGAAUAUUCCCCCCAAUAAUACGCUCUUGAGAUUAUCGACACCGACACGCUGCAAAAUCUGGAGGAAAUAUGAACAAUUUUACGGAUGGUUGACAUACUUUUCUAUCGCAGCACUCAUUUAUCAUCGUUUUGAUAGUGCCAUAACUAAAAUUCCUCACACCCAGACCUUCAUUAAUUUACCAAACGAUCCAGCGCCAAGACUGGAUCAGUCAUUUGAGUUCAAUGAAUGGAAAAAUGAAUGAAGAAAAUGAGAUACAUGUCUUUGUUUAAUGUACAUUUAUUUCUAUGAUUCUACGACGUAAGUUACAAAUCGUGUGUUGCUGUGUUUGGUAACAGUUAAAAAUUAUUUAUUCAAUUUCAAUAACAGCACCAACUUUGGUAAGUGCUUCUUUCAGCUUCUCAGCUUCUUCCUUUGGAAUAUCAGCCUUUACAACUGCUGGAGCGCUUUCCACAAACUUCUUGGCCUGAGGGAUGAUGAUAACAGGUUAAGAACAGCAUUUAAAAUCGGAGUAGAUGAGGAAUUAUUUAACUCAGUUACCUGAACAAGGUUCAUUCCUUCUAAUUGACUUUUGCAUUCUUUGAUAAGCGCUACUUUCUGUUUCUCAUCAAACUGCAUAAGCUUAACUGUGAAUGAAGUUUGUACUUUUUUUGCUGCGGGAGCAUCCUCAUCAUCCUGUAGCAAAAGAUAUCAACAUUGACAUAUAAGAUUCUUGAAAAAAGAAAUAGCAUAAAAUCUUUUCCCAUUUAAU